UGGGGAAUCUUGGACAAUGGGCGAAAGCCUGAUCCAGCCAUGCCGCGUGAGUGAAGAAGGCCUUAGGGUUGUAAAACUCUUUCGCCGGUGAAGAUAAUGACGGUAACCGGAGAAGAAGCCCCGGCUAACUUCGUGCCAGCAGCCGCGGUAAUACGAAGGGGGCUAGCGUUGUUCGGAAUUACUGGGCGUAAAGCGCACGUAGGCGGGUUUGUAAGUAGGGGGUGAAAUCCCAGGGCUCAACCCUGGAACUGCCUUCUAGACUGCAAGCCUGGAGGUCAGGAGAGGCGAGUGGAAUACCGAGUGUAGAGGUGAAAUUCGUAGAUAUUCGGUGGAACACCAGUGGCGAAGGCGACUCGCUGGACUGAUACUGACGCUGAGGUGCGAAAGCGUGGGGAGCAAACAGG
rnacentral:rRNA from 1 species